UACGUAGGGUGCAAGCGUUGUCCGGAAUUAUUGGGCGUAAAGAGCUCGUAGGCGGUCUGUCGCGUCGGCUGUGAAAACUUGGGGCUCAACCCCAAGCCUGCAGUCGAUACGGGCAGACUAGAGUGCGGUAGGGGAGACUGGAAUUCCUGGUGUAGCGGUGAAAUGCGCAGAUAUCAGGAGGAACACCGGUGGCGAAGGCGGGUCUCUGGGCCGUAACUGACGCUGAGGAGCGAAAGCGUGGGGAGCGAACAGG
rnacentral:rRNA from 1 species